AUACACCGUCCGUCGGAUCGUGGACUCCCGUCGGCGAGGUCGCGGCUGGCAGUACCUCGUCGAUUGGGAGGGCUACGGUCCGGAGGACAGGUCCUGGAUCUCUGGUUCUUCCAUCCUGGACCCUUCCCUUAUCUCCGACUAUCGUUCCUCGUUGCCUUCCAGUUCGUCUAGGCCGCCAGGUGGCGACCGUUGAGGGGGGGGUACUGUUAUGUUCCGGGGUUCUGGCUGCAUGGUGGGAGUUCCUGUGCACCCUUAUUACCUUUUACCACCAGAUGGCGACAGGUUCCGGCUGGAGUGCGGUGCAUUAUUAUCCGCAGCUGUUCGUGAUCAUCCUCAUCAGCGGCGCAGACUUAAGGAGUUGGCCGCCAGUCCAGCGUCGCCUGAGUGUUAGCCAGUCACGGUGAUCCUUUGAUGAGAUCCCGGUUGAAUUCCUGGCUUUUGAACCAUCCUCGUGACGCCGUGGAAAGUAUCCACAGGUUGCCCGAGUUCCCAGACUUACCUCUCCGUUGUUUUGGCAAUUAUCUCCUGGACCCCACGGCUGGCGGCCGUACCACUCCUCCGUCUCCCCGCUGCUCUCGUGCCUACCUGUCCGCUGCCCACCGCACUCCUCCGUUGUUCCUGGACCCACCAAGAACCGAGACCCCGGACAUACUCGGUUUCCCCUCCAAGACUCUGUUCAUCAGCAACAAUGAACCAUUGUUGCCGUCCCUGUUUUUGCCCCUGGACCAGACCAUCCUGAUUCUCACUGAUAAUUGUGUGAUCUUUAUUAAAUCAUUUAACACUGA